rnacentral:lncRNA from 1 species
UGACUUUGUAAGAGCUUUGCAAAGUCAACAUUUAUUUCGGAUGUUUUGGAUUUUAUGAAAUAAAAUAGGGUUUAUAUUUUAGGUGAUUUCCAAAGUUUUUAGUAGAUCUACGGGUGAAAUUUUGUGGGAUUAUGAUUAUAGUUGUGUUUAAUAUGUAUUGUUAAUUUGAGAUUGAUCUAACGGUUGAAUUGAGGAAUAUUAAGGUUUAAGUGGAUCAAGGUCUCAGAAAGUAGAAUUUUAGGUCUAGUAGGAUUUUUUAAGAUUUCGUGCAAUCUACUAGUUGGAUUGGAGUGAAAUUUAUGUGAGAAGAUAUUAGACUUGUUUUUCUAUGUGUAUGAAAAUUUUGAGAUGAAUCGAAUGGUGUAAAAGAGAGAUAUUGGCUCUAAAAGAUUAGCAUCAAGAUUGGAGAAGGAGGCCGGCCAAUACCCGAGCACAUUUUUGAGGUUAUCGUCAAUUUGGUAACUCCGAUCCUUUUCAAUUUUUAUGUACUUGUUUUGAACUUAGUUUUUAAGAAGUGUGAAAAAUUUGAGUUAAGAUCAACGGUUUAUUAAUUAGUUAUUGAGGUUUAAAUCUGUUGUAGGAAUUACUAGGGUUUGGUUUAGGAUUUGAUUAGGGUUUGGUUAGGAUUUGGUUUAAGGUUUGAUUAGGGUUUGGAUUAGGGUUUGAUUAGGAUUUGGUUAGGAUUUGGUUUAAGGUUUGAUUAGGGUUUGGAUUAGGAUUUUAUUUAGGAUUUAGGAUUUAGGGUUUGAAUUAGGAUUUGAUUUAGGAUUAGGAUUUGAUUAGGAUUUAGUUUAGGGUUUAGGAUUUGGUUAGGGUUUGAUUUAGGAUUUAGGAAUUGGAUUAGGGUUUGGUUUAGGGUUUAGUUAGGAUUUUAUUUAGGAUUUAGGGUUUGGUUUAGGAUUUGGUUAGGAUUUGGUUUAGGAUUUGGUUGAGGUUCGGUUUAAGAUUUGUUUAGGAUUUGAUUUAGGAUUUAGAAUUUUAUUAGGAUUUAAGAUUCAAUUAGUUUUGGCCUAAAGUUUUAAUGAAGUUCAAUAGGAUUUUAACUAGAAUUAAAUUAAGAUUGAAUUGUGAUAUAUUUGAGUGAUAUUUGUGAUCCUUCUAACAUUUCUUUAAGAAUUCUUAUUUUUUGUUUGAAAUUUCUUUGAGGUUUUUAUGAAUUUGAUUAAGCUUACUUAAUAUUAUCAUGG